AUGGCCUCUCCUGGACCCAACAAAUCGUCUUGCCCGUUGCAGCUUUCCGUCUUGCUAGUCCCAGCAAAUCAUCUCCCCUAUCCUAGCAAAAAAAAUCUCAGCCACAAAAAAACUCGCUGGUUGGUCGCAACAAAAAUUCUUGCUGGUCCCAGCAAAAAUGAACGCCGGUUGCAGCAAAAAAAAUGGCCAUCACCGGGUUGUAGCAAAAAUUCUCGCCGGUCACUAGUCGUAACAAAAAUUCUCGCUGGUCGCAACAAAAAUUCUUGCUGGUUGCAGCAAAAAAAAUGGCCAUCACCGGGUCGUAGUAAAAAUUCUCGCCGGUCACUGGUCAAAACAAGAAUUCUCGCUGGUCGCAACAAAAAUAAACACCGGUUGCAGCAAAAAAAUGGCUUGCAAUCACCCGGUCCUAGCAAAAAUUCCCGCCGGUCCCUAAAAAACAACUCGCAGGUUGUAGCUCGAUAUCAACCGGUCAGGGCUCCGACGGCUGUCCAUGGCGAUUGCAAGAGGAAACGAGUGGACACGGGUAGGGAUAGAAACAAGUGUAGGGGAAAAAAGCGGUCUGGCAGCUAA
rnacentral:rRNA from 1 species